UUAAGAAUCUUGCACAAUGGGCGCAAGCCUGAUGCAGCGACGCCGCGUGAAUGAUGAAGGCCUUCGGGUUGUAAAGUUCAAUAAGCAGGGAAGAAUAAGCAACGGGUAAUAUUCGUUGUGAUGACGGUACCUGCCUAAAGCCCCGGCUAACUACGUGCCAGCAGCCGCGGUAAUACGUAUGGGGCGAGCGUUGUUCGGAAUUAUUGGGCGUAAAGGGCGUCUAGGCGGGGGAUUAAGUUAGAUGUGAAAGCUAUGGGCUCAACCCAUAAACUGCAUCUAAGACUGGUUCUCUUGAGUCCGGGAGAGGAGAGCGGAAUUCCAGGUGUAGCGGUGAAAUGCGUAGAUAUCUGGAAGAACACCAGUGGCGAAGGCGGCUCCCUGGCCUAGGACUGACGCUGAAGCGCGAAAGCGUGGGGAGCGAACA
rnacentral:rRNA from 1 species